AACAAGGCGUACCUGCGGACCUGCGGAGGGAUCGUUACUGAGUCACGUGCUCAAACAACCCUUCUGUGGACCUGAAAUAAAACCGUUGCCUCGGCGGGCGGUCCCCCCCAAACCAACCCCACGUGGUGGGUUAGGGGAGACCAGACAGUCCGGUACGCUUAAGGCGUCCGGCGCCAGCCGCUGGCCCCAAACAAUUAAACUCUAGUAAUCUUUACCUUCUGAGUUUCAAUAUUUAAAAAU
rnacentral:misc_RNA from 1 species